rnacentral:rRNA from 1 species
CCUACGGGAGGCAGCAGUGAGGAAUAUUGGUCAAUGGACGGAAGUCUGAACCAGCCAUGCCGCGUGCAGGAAGACGGCCCUAUGAGUUGUAAACUGCUUUUGUACAAGGGUAAACCUGAAUACGUGUAUUCAGCUGAAAGUACUGUACGAAUAAGGAUCGGCUAAUUCCGUGCCAGCAGCCGCGGUAAUACGGAGGAUCCAAGCGUUAUCCGGACUUAUUGGGUGUAAAGGGUGCGAAGGCGGGUUGAGAAGUGAGAGGUGAAAUGUCCGGGCUUAACUCGGGUACUGCCUCUAAUACUGUUGAUCUAGAGAGUAGGUGCGGUAGGCGGAAUGUAUGGUGUAGCGGUGAAAUGCUGAGAGAUCAGACAGAACACCGAUUGCGAAGGCAGCUUACCAAUCUAUAUCUGACGUUGAGGCACGAAAGCGUGGGGAGCAAACAGGAUUAGAUACCCCUGUAGUC